rnacentral:tRNA from 1 species
GCCUGGGUGGCUCAGCGGUUGGGCGUCUGCCUUCAGUUCAGGUCAUGGUCCCGGGGUCCUGGGAUCAAGUUCCACCUCAGGCU